GGAGCAGCAUAUGGAUCAGCCUGCAUCGACACAUACGCUCCAAAAACUGGAUGUCCUGUCAUUGGAGGAUUCAAACAAUGGACCGUCAGGGUGCCGCGUUUCCUCAUCGCCCAUUUGGAACCGUUCUGUUUUUGACUGGGGAAUUACAUUUUACACCACCAGAGAUCGCGCAGGAUCUUUCCACACAUAUCCUGAUGUGGGCAGGCCAUUUCAUAGCUUAGAUGAAGUUAACAGCGCUAUCGACCGGUAUCUCAUUGACAACCAGGAUCCAACAAUGUGUGCGGGGCUUUCUGGAGUGGACGCGAUGAUAAAACGUGUUCGUUACUAUCCUGAUGGCACAAAGAAGCGUGGAUCAGAAGUCAAAGAUAAAAGGCGUGAUGAGGAUUACCAGUUGGCUCGAACUUUGGUGGACAAGUAUAACGACCAUCACAAUCUUUUUGGGGAUCUUGCAUAUGACGUCAAAGAUUUUCUGCAUGGCAACCCUCUUUGGGAGGAUUAUUAUAUCCAUUGGACGUACUUUCAUAUGAAUUUCACUGCAAAGACCGAAGGAUCUUAUGGUGUCGACACUGGCAACCUAUUCUUUGCUGAAGUCAAAUAUAAUCGAGGAGAUGAUGGAUUAACGGUGAACAGUUGCUGUAUACUUGAACCUUCUUCUGAUCAUGCCAACCUUUUAACAUUCAAUUGUGAAGCUGUUAAUAUGUGUUCGCGCCUGGUUAGUUAUUUGGCAGUUAAAUGAAAAUUACCCCUCCUUUUUUAAACAAAGGCCUCUGCUAUGGUUGUGGAGGUGAUGUGAAGCACCCCAAUGAUGGUAAUGCAUAUGCUUGCGGUCGGCGGAACAUGUCGUAUCGUUUUCAGAAUGGUGGACCUCAACUACCUCCGGACUACUACGAGGACCGCUAUUACGAGGACUCUGAUGAAGAAGUGGAAAGGCUGAGAUCUCAGUUCAAGGAGUACGAUGAUGAUCCAGAUACUGCAGAGCAACUCGAGCCUCAUAGCGUACAAUUUGAGGCUUAAUUAACCGCCGAAGUCAAAAUUAGAACGGUGUUCCUGGCAUGAAAGAACUCGUCUCCUAUUUUUCUUCCGACUUAACACUUUGAUAUGGCCGCUAUGGGAUCUGCCUCCGUCUGUCGUUCUCUGAGGAAUAUUAUGUAUACAUCUUGUAUUAAUUAGUCUGCCUAACCUUUAGGAUACGGUCUAACCCUGUAAGAAUUUAGUUAAUUUGAUUGAACUAAAAAGAGUAAGAAUUUAGUUAUUUUGAUUGAACUAAAGAGAGUUAGAGGAUACACACAGUACCCGUUUGGUCCAUAUGGUGUUUCCUUUACCCGUAAGACACAACUGUUUUCUCUGUCGUUCUUCAUCGUCCAUGUGGUACCAUGCAUCUUGGGUCGUGGUGAUGUUGGGGUCGUGCCAUCUUCGGCGUUGUAUGGGUCGGGCCAUCU